CGGACGGGUGAGUAACGCGUGGGUAACCUACCCUGUGCAGGGGGAUAACAGUCAGAAAUGACUGCUAAUACCGCAUAAGACCACAGCACCGCAUGGUGCAGGGGUAAAAACUCCGGUGGUACAGGAUGGACCCGCGUCUGAUUAGCUGGUUGGUGAGGUAACGGCUCACCAAGGCGACGAUCAGUAGCCGGCUUGAGAGAGUGAACGGCCACAUUGGGACUGAGACACGGCCCAA
rnacentral:rRNA from 1 species